rnacentral:rRNA from 1 species
GACGAACGCUGGCGGCGUGCUUAACACAUGCAAGUCGAGCGAUGAAGCUCCUUCGGGAGUGGAUUAGCGGCGGACGGGUGAGUAACACGUGGGUAACCUGCCUCAUAGAGGGGAAUAGUCUUCCGAAAGGAAGAUUAAUACCGCAUAAGAUUGUAGUACCGCAUGGUAUAGCAAUUAAAGGAGUAAUCCGCUAUGAGAUGGACCCGCGUCGCAUUAGCUAGUUGGUGAGGUAACGGCUCACCAAGGCGACGAUGCGUAGCCGACCUGAGAGGGUGAACGGCCACAUUGGGACUGAGACACGGCCCAGACUCCUACGGGAGGCAGCAGUGGGGAAUAUUGCACAAUGGGGGAAACCCUGAUGCAGCAACGCCGCGUGAGGGAAGAAGGCUUUCGGGUUGUAAACCUCUGUCCUUGGUGACGAAAAAAAUGACGGUAGCCAAGGAGAAAGCCCCGGCUAACUACGUGCCAGCAGCCGCCGUAAUAC